rnacentral:rRNA from 1 species
GUGAACGCUGGCGGUAGGCCUAACACAUGCCCGUCGAACGGCAGCACCGUAAGAGCUUGCUCUUACGGGUGGCGAGUGGCGGACGGGUGAGGAAUACAUCGGAAUCUACUUUUUCGUGGGGGAUAACGUAGGGAAACUUACGCUAAUACCGCAUACGACCUACGGGUGAAAGCAGGGGAUCUUCGGACCUUGCGCGAUUGAAUGCGCCGAUGUCGGAUUAGCUAGUUGGCGGGGUAAAGGCCCACCAAGGCGACGAUCCGUAGCUGGUCUGAGAGGAUGAUCAGCCACACUGGAACUGAGACACGGUCCAGACUCCUACGGGAGGCAGCAGUGGGGAAUAUUGGACAAUGGGCGCAAGCCUGAUCCAGCCAUACCGCGUGGGUGAAGAAGGCCUUCGGGUUGUAAAGCCCUUUUGUUGGGAAAGAAAAGCAGCAGGUUAAUACCCCGCUGUUCUGACGGUACCCAAAGAAUAAGCACCGGCUAACUUCGUG